rnacentral:rRNA from 1 species
AGAGUUUGAUCCUGGCUCAGAACGAACGCUGGCGGCAGGCUUAACACAUGCAAGUCGAACGCCCCGCAGGGGGAGUGGCAGACGGGUGAGUAACGCGUGGGAAUCUACCCAUCUCUACGGGAUAGCUCCGGGAAACUGGAAUUAAUACCGUAUACGUCCUGAGGGAGAAAGAUUUAUCGGGGAUGGAUGAGCCCGCGUUGGAUUAGCUAGUUGGUGGGGUAAAGGCCUACCAAGGCGACGGUCCAUAGCUGGUCUGAGAGGAUGACCAGCCACAUUGGGACUGAGACACGGCCCAAACUCCUACGGGAGGCAGCAGUGGGGAAUAUUGGACAAUGGGCGCAAGCCUGAUCCAGCCAUGCCGCGUGAGUGAUGAAGGUCUUAGGAUUGUAAAGCUCUUUCAGUGGGGACGAUAAUGACGGUACCCACAGAAGAAGCCCCGGCUAACUUUGUGCCAGCAGCCGCGGUAAUACGAAGGGGGCUAGCGUUGUUCGGAUUUACUGGGCGUAAAGCGCACGUAGGCGGAUAUUUAAGUCGGGGGUGAAAUCCCGGGGCUCAACCCCGGAACUGCCUUCGAUACUGGGUAUCUUGAGUUCGGAAGAGGUGAGUGGAAUUGCGAGUGUAGAGGUGAAAUUCGUAGAUAUUCGCAGGAACACCAGUGGCGAAAGCGGCUCACUGGUCCGAUACUGACGCUGAGGUGCGAAAGCGUGGGGAGCAAACAGGACUAGAUACCCUGGUAGUCCACGCCGUAAACUAUGGAAGCUAGCCGUCGGGUGAUUUAUCACUGGUGGCGCAGCUAACGCAUUAAGCUUCCCGCCUGGGGAGUACGGUCGCAAGAUUA